GAUGAACGCUGGCGGCGUGCCUAAUACAUGCAAGUCGAGCGAAUGGAUUAAGAGCUUGCUCUUAUGAAGUUAGCGGCGGACGGGUGAGUAACACGUGGGUAACCUGCCCAUAAGACUGGGAUAACUCCGGGAAACCGGGGCUAAUACCGGAUAACAUUUUGAACCGCAUGGUUCGAAAUUGAAAGGCGGCUUCGGCUGUCACUUAUGGAUGGACCCGCGUCGCAUUAGCUAGUUGGUGAGGUAACGGCUCACCAAGGCAACGAUGCGUAGCCGACCUGAGAGGGGGAUCGGCAACACUGGGACUGAGACACGGCCCAGACUCCUACGGGAGGCAGCAGUAGGUAAUCUUCCGCAAUGGACGAAAGUCUGACGGAGCAACGCCGCGUGAGUGAUGAAGGCUUUCGGGUCGUAAAACUCUGUUGUUAGGGAAGAACAAGUGCUAGUUGAAUAAGCUGGCACCUUGACGGUACCUAACCAGAAAGCCACGGCUAACUACGUGCCAGCCGCCGCGGUAA
rnacentral:rRNA from 1 species